UGGUGAUAAAAAUAGUAUAUAUAUUAUGCACCUGAUGUGGUUUGGUUCUCUGUCUCCAUCCAAAUCUCAUGUUGAAUUGCAAUCCCCAUUCUUGGAGUUGGAGCCUGGUAGGAGGUGAUUGGAUUAUGGGGGUGGUUUCUAAUGGUUUAGCACCAUCCCCUGCAGGCUGUUUCAUGAUAGAGUUCUCAUGAGAUCUGGUUGUUUGAAAGUAUGUAGCACCUCCCCCUUUUCUCUUUCUUUCUCUCUCUCCUGGCGCCACGUGAAGACAUACUUGCUUUCCCUUUGCACUUCUGCGGUGAUUGUAAGUUUCCUGAGGCUCCUGAACCAUGUUUCCUGUACAGCAUGCAGAACUUUCAAAAUGGGACAUAAAGCAGUAGAAACAAUUUUCAACAUCAACAAUGAAUGCAUUUGGCCCAGGAACUGCUAACAAACAUACAGUGCAGUCGUAGCUUAAGAAGUUUGCAAAGGAGACGAGAGCCUUGAAGACGAGGAGUGUAGUGGCUGGCCAUCAGAAGUUGACAACGACCAACUGAGAGCAAUCAUCUAAGCUGAUCCUCUUACAACUACACGAGAAGUUGCCAAAAUAACUCAAUGUCAGCUAUUUUAUGGUCGUUGGGCAUUUGAAGCAAAUUGGAAAGAUGAAAAAGCUCAAUACAUGGGUGCCUCAAGAGAUGACCAAAAAUUUAAAAAAUAAUAGUUUUGAAGUGUUGUCUUCUCUUAUUCUACUCAAUAACAACGAACCAUUUCUCAAUUGGAUUGUGACAUGCAAUGAAAAGAGGAUUUCAUAUGACAACCGGCUAUGACCAGCUUAGUGUUUAGAUCAAGAAAAAGCUCCAAAGCAUUUCUCAAAGCCAAACUUUCACCAAAUAAAGGUCAUGGUCACUGUUUGAUGGUCUGCUGCCAGUCUGAUCCACUAUAGCUUUCUGAAUCCUGGUGAAACUAAUACAUCUGAGGAGUAUACUUAGUAAAUCGAUGAGAUGCCACUAAAACUGCAACGUUUGCAUCUGACAUUGGUCAACAGAAAAGGCCCAAUUCUUCUCCUCGAUGACACCUGGCUACGCAUCCCACAACCAAUGCUUCAAAAGUUGGACGAAUUGGGCUACGAAGUUUUGCCUCAUUCCCUGACCUCUCGCCAACUGACUGCCACUUCUUCAAACAUUUUGACAACUUUCUGCAGGGAAAACACUUCCAUCCCCAGCAGGUUGCAGAAAAUACCUUCCAAAUGUUCAUAGAAUCCCAAAGCACGGAUUUUUACACUACAGAAAUAAACAUAUUUCUCAUUGGAGAAAUAUAUAUAUAUAGAGAGAGAAAGAGAGAUAUCCUCUAUUGCUAUGGCCUUUAAAAAAAGAUAAAAAAUUAAAGUAUCAUAUGUUUUUAUCUAAAUAGCAUGCAGUUUAAUGUACAAUAUGCCACUAAUUUUUUGAAGAAAAAUCAAAAUAAAGGUACAUUUCCAUUUAAAUACAUCUUUGUUUUGUAUUAAUGAAGAGAUACUAAAAACAUACCCUAAAAUCAAGAAAAUAAAAUAUUUCUUGAGACUUUAUAGAAUUAUCAGUAUUGAUAAAUGGGUCGUGUCUUCACUCUUACCCUUCACAUGCUUGUCGUUUUAUUUAAAGAUUGAUAUUACAGGUCAUUGUCAAGCAUUAAAUUUUUCUCUAAGAUUAUAUAUGUAAUAUUUCUCUCUAAAUAUAAGAUAUGUAUCUUGAAAAUGUGUGAACAGCUGAAUAGUCUAGUAUCUGUUAAUAAGAAUUAUUGUUUGUCAAAAGUAUGCUAACAUUAUCUAAAAACAUAUUAAAAUCUCAAAAAAUAGAAGAUAACAUGUGCUGACUGCUAAUUUUAAUGAAAACACCUCUGGGAACUUUAUGUUAUCCAUUUAAUGCUAAUUAAAUAUUAUAAAAGUGUGAAUGAGACUUGUUACACAACUUGCUUAAAUAAAAAUAUCUUAAAUGCACGAACAGGAAUUCAAACGUGAGUGAGCCUGAUCUAAAGUAUAACACAAUAUUAUCUUCAUAAAGCAAAUCACUUAAAAUAGAAAUAGCUACAUUUUGUAGAGCUAUAGACGGUUGUGGAGUUAUAGACUUCCUAUUUUUCG
rnacentral:lncRNA from 1 species